AUUGAACGCUGGCGGCAGGCCUAACACAUGCAAGUCGAGCGGAUGAAGGGAGCUUGCUCCUGGAUUCAGCGGCGGACGGGUGAGUAAUUCCUAGGAAUCUGCCUGGUAGUGGGGGAUAACGUCCGUACACGGGCGCUAAUACCGCAUACGUCCUGAGGGAGAAAGUGGGGGAUCUUCGGACCUCACGCUAUCAGAUGAGCCUAGGUCGGAUUAGCUAGUUGGUGGGGUAAAGGCCUACCAAGGCGACGAUCCGUAACUGGUCUGAGAGGAUGAUCAGUCACACUGGAACUGAGACACGGUCCAGACUCCUACGGGAGGCAGCAGUGGGGAAUAUUGGACAAUGGGCGAAAGCCUGAUCCAGCCAUGCCGCGUGUGUGAAGAAGGUCUUCGGAUUGUAAAGCACUUUAAGUUGGGAGGAAGGGCAGUAAGUUAAUACCUUGCUGUUUUGACGUUACCAACAGAAUAAGCACCGGCUAACUUCGUG
rnacentral:rRNA from 1 species